rnacentral:rRNA from 1 species
GAUGAACGCUGGCGGCGUGCCUAAUACAUGCAAGUCGAGCGAACAGACGAGGAGCUUGCUCCUCUGACGUUAGCGGCGGACGGGUGAGUAACACGUGGAUAACCUACCUAUAAGACUGGGAUAACUUCGGGAAACCGGAGCUAAUACCGUAUAAUAUAUUGAACCGCAUGGUUCAAUAGUGAAAGACGGUCUUGCGGUCACUUAUAGAUGGAUCCGCGCCGCAUUAGCUAGUUGGUAAGGUAACGGCUUACCAAGGCAACGAUGCGUAGCCGACCUGGGAGGGUGAUCGGCCACACUGGAACUGAGACACGGUCCAGAGUCCUACGGGAGGGAGCAGUAGGGAAUCUUCCGCAAUGGGCGAAAGCCUGACGGAGCAACGCCGCGUGAGUGAUGAAGGUCUUCGGAUCGUAAAACUCUGUUAUGAGGGAAGAACAAAUGUGUAAGUAACUAUGCACGUCUUGACGGUACCUAAUCAGAAAGCCACGGCUAACUACGUG